UCUUUCGCCUUUUACUAAAGAUUUCCGUGGAGAGAAACAACUAUGAGUUCUAUCAAUUUUUCUGGUGCCCUGUUUAUUCGGGGCU
rnacentral:snRNA from 1 species